rnacentral:RNase_P_RNA from 17 species
AGCCAGACCGCCGCUGGGGCAAGCUCGGAAACGAGGCCCUGGAGGAAGGUCCGGACUGCACAGAGCGGCGUAGCAGCUAACGGCUGCCCGGCGCAAGCCGAGGAUCAGAGCAACAGAGACGAGUCGACCAA